GGGAGGGUAACUGCAGGUCGAGGGGCAGCGGGGAGGUAGAAUACUUCCGCCGGCGACCGGCGCACGGGUGAGUACCCUAUAUGGAACCUGCCCGUAGCAGGGGGAUAAGCGGAACAUUUUCCGUCUAAUACCGCGUAAUAAUUCCGAGAGGCAUCUCAUGGAGUUUAAAGGGUAACACCGGCUACGGAUGGCCAUGCGGCGCAUUAGCUAGUUGGCGGGGUAACGGCCCACCAAGGCGACGAUGCGUAGGGGUUCUGAGAGGAAGGUCCCCCACACUGGUACUGAGACACGGACCACACUCCUACGGGAGGCAGCAGUGAGGAAUAUUGGUCAAUGGGCGCGAGCCUGAACCAGCCAAGUCGCGUGAGGGAAGACGGUCCUAUGGAUUGUAAACCUCUUUUGUCGGGGAGCAAAAGACGCCACGCGUGGCGUUCCGAGAGUACCCGAAGAAAAAGCAUCGGCUAACUCCGUGCCAGCAGCCGCGGUAAUACGGAGGAUGCGAGCGUUAUCCGGAUUUAUUGGGUUUAAAGGGUGCGCAGGCGGAAGAUCAAGUCAGCGGUAAAAUUGAGAGGCUCAACCUCUUCGAGCCGUUGAAACUGGUUUUCUUGAGUGAGCGAGAAGUAUGCGGAAUGCGUGGUGUAGCGGUGAAAUGCAUAGAUAUCACGCAGAACUCCGAUUGCGAAGGCAGCAUACCGGCGCUCAACUGACGCUCAUGCACGAAAGUGUGGGUAUCGAACAGGAUUAGAUACC
rnacentral:rRNA from 1 species